ensembl:lncRNA LINC01091 long intergenic non-protein coding RNA 1091
AUAGCAACCCCGUGGCUUGCAACGACAAAAAAGCUCAAGGCAGGAACAGCAGCCCAGGGACCUGAGACCAGCGUUCUCAAAUGAAGGUGCCAGAUCUGCUGUUAGAGGAGAAUUCUUCUGUCCUAGCUGUGUCUCUGUGAUCUGUGGAUGAGGGUGGGAAAGCACCACUCAGUCAAUUGGGGUGUACAAAAUGGAGUUUGAGAAGGUCUCACAUCCAGGUUGUUUUGAAGCAAAGUCCAAGCAUUGUAUCACUUCAUCUGCAAAUAUUUCAAUAAGUACCCAAAAGUAACCUCUUUACUCCUUUCCAUGAAGAUUUCCAUGCCUCAGAACAAAGUUGACCUCAUCUUGAAGACAGGAUAGAGGGGAGAUAAUGCCUGUCAACAUCUAUCACAAAAUGUUGCUCAACUUACUGAUGAAUUAAUAAAAAGUCAUCUGUACUCUCUUCUGAAGCCCAUCAUCUGCUCCUUGGUUGGACUGAGUCCCAUGAAGCCAGAUCACUUCUGACUGCAAGGAGCUUGGAAAAGCAAGUAUCUGGAUCUUUUACCAGCUAAAUUUGGAGAAUUAUUGAUCAAAUUUGGAUCUCUGUGUGCUGUCCUCCAAUUUAAUACUUUCUGUGUUGCUGUUUUAUUUUCUUUCUUCUGGAACCUGGCAAAGUGCGUCAAGCGAUGAGGCUUCCUCUUUGAAGAUCACAGGUGAGAAGAUUAGGUGCUUUCUCAGAAGCCCAGCAACCUGAUGGGAGUGUGGAGUGAGCAAGACCCAAAUCGGAGCUUCAUCCCUGCAUGGUUCAUUUUGCUUAUUUGGCAAACUUGCCCUGCAGAAUCUACUCAAGCUUCCUCAGUUUCUCAAAUCAUUCUUGGGCAACAAAUGAACAAGAAAGAGGACGUCUUAUUAUCUGGUGUCUGGCUUGCUGAUUUAAUAACCUAGGAGACAGUGUUUGAAGAACACAAACUCUAAAGUCCUUCACUUAAAAAAAAAAAAAAA